ACUGGGUGCAGAAGAGAAGUGGGUGUGUCUAAAAAGGGCAACAAGAGAGAUCCUUGUGGUGAUGGAUGGGUUUUUUAUCCUGACUGUAUCAAUGUUAAUAUCCAGGUUGUGAUAUCGUACUGUAGUUUGGCCAGAUGUGACCACUGGGAAACUAGGUGAAGUGUACAUGUCACCUCUUUGUAUUAUUUCUGCAUGUGAAUCUACAAUUAUCUCAAAAUAAAAAGUAUAAUUUUUAAAAGGCAAAAAAUUAUUUUCAGAACAUCAUUUUUCAUAAUCAUUAAGGUCUUCCAUUUUAUUUGAAAAACAUUGUGGAAUGACAUCAAGAACAUGAUGCAUGAAGAAAGCAAGAGGUCAUCAAAAAGACGGGGAAGAAAGAAAAGACCAAAAUGGAUGUCAGAAAAGACUCUGAAACUUGCUCUUGAAUGUAUAGUAGCUAAUGUGAACAAAAGAAAUGAGGAAGUAAAAGAGCUGAACAGAAGGUUUCAAAGGGUGCCUUGAGAAGACAAAGUAUUAUAAUGACAUGCAAAGAUCUGGAGUUAGAAAACCAAAAGGGAAGAACACGCUUGACAUUUCUCAAGCUGAAAAGACUGAAGAAAAAAUUCAAGCCUUGAGCUGCAAUAGUGAAGGAUUCUAUGAGCAAAAUACUGAAUGACUCAGAAAGCACCAAAAGAAGAUGGAAGGAAUACACAGAGUCACUGUACCAAAAAUAAUUGGUCAACAUUCAGUCAUUUCAGGAGGUAGCAUAUGAUCAAGAAUCGAUGGUAUUGACAGAGGUCCGAGCUGCACUGAAGACAUUGAAGAAAAACCAGUUGAGAUGUUUUAACAAAAAGAUGCAGCCCUGGAAGUGCUCAGUCGUCUAAGCCAAGAAAUUUGGAAGACAGAUGCCUGGCCAACAGACUGAAAGAGUUUCAUAUUUAUGCCUAUUCCAAAGAAAGUAAUCCAAAUGAAUGCAGAAAUUAUCGAACAACAUCAUUGAUAUCACACUUAAGUAAAAUCUUGCUGAAGAUCAUAAAAGCUGUUGCAGCAGCACAUCAACAGGAACUGCCAGAAAUUCAAACAGGAUUCAGAAAAGGACGUGGAAUGAGGAAUAUCAUUGCUGAUGUCUGCUGGAUCCUGGCUGAAAGCAGAGGAUAUCAGAAAAGUGUUUACCUGUGUUUUAUUGACUAUUCAAAGGUAUGUGCUCUAUGGAUCAUAACAAAUUAUAGAUAAUAUUGCGAAGAAUGGGAAUUCCAGAACACUUAAUUGUGCUCAUGAGGAAUUUGUACAUAGAUCAAGAGGCAGUUGUUCAAACACAAGGGGAUACUGCAUGGUUUAAAGUCAGGAAAGGUGUGCAUCAGGGUUGUAUCCUUUCACCCUACUUAUUCAAUCUGUAUGCUGAGCAAAUAAUCUGAGAAGCUGGACUAUAUGAAGAAGAACAGGGCAUCAGGAUUGGAGGAAGACUCAUUAACAAUCUGUGAUAUGCAGAUGGCACAACCUUGCUUGCUGAAAGUACAGAGGACUUGAAGCACUUACUGAUGAAGAUGAAAGAUUACACCCUUCAGUAUGGAUUACACCUCAAUAUAAAGGAAACAAAAAUCCUCACAACUUGGCCAAUAAGCUACAUCGUGAUAAAUGGAGAAGAGACUGACGUUGUCAAGGAUUUCAUUUUACUUGAAUCCAUAAUCAACACCCAUGGAAGCAGCAGUCAAGAAACCAAAAGACACAUUGCAUUGGGCAAAUGUGCUGCAAAAGACCUUCGUAAAGUGUUAAAAAACAAAGAUGUCACUUUAAGGACUAAGGUGCACUUGACCCAAGCCAUGGUGUGUUCAACUGCCUUACAUGCAUAUGAAAGCUGGACUGACAAUGAAUAAGGAAGACUGAAGAAGAACUGAUGCCUCUGAAUUACAGUGUUGGCAAAGAACAUUGAAUAUACCAUGGACUUCCAAAAGAAUGAACAAAUCUGUCUUGGAAGAAGUAUGGCCAGAAUGCCCCUUAGAAGCGAGGGUGAUGAGAUUUCAUCUCAGGUACUUUGGACUUGUUAUCAGAAGGGAUCAGUCCCUGGAAAAGGACACCAUGCUUGGUAAAGCAGAGGGUCAGCGAAAAAGAGGAAGACCCCCAACGAGAUGGAUGGACACGAUUAGUUUCCCUAUCAAGUUGGCUCAGACAGAUUUGCAUGCAAAAGCUUUACUGGGAUUCAAUAUCUGAAAAGAAGUAAGCCACCAUCCAUCUGCCAGUGGAGGCUUGCUUGCUGCUAUGAUGCUGAACAGGCUUCGGUGGAGCUUCCAGACUAAGACAGACAAGAAAGAAAGGCCUGGCAAGCUACUUCCAAAAAUCAGACAGCGAAAACCUUAUGGAUCACCAUGGCCUGAUCUCUAACAGGUCAUAGAGAUGGUGCAGGACUGGGCAGGAUUCUGUUAUACAUGGGGUCGCCAUGAGUUGGAUGGCAGCUAUCAACAAUAAAGAAGUAAGGGAAGCAGGAUUGGGCAGAGGAAGCUGUUGAACUGUGAUGCAGUCACAACAAAGACAUUACUACAGGGAGCUCUGGGGCUGAGAUAUCCUGAAUUGAGGCAAGGGGGCCAGGCCUUUAUACCCCACAUAGAUUGAAGGAUCUCCCCAGAGAGAGGGUGUGCCCUUGGCCAAGUCAGCUCCUUCCACCCAAACCAAACCCACUGCCGUCAAGUCGAUUUCAACUGAUAGUGACCCCCAAAGAGUUUCCAGGGCUGUAAAUCUCUAUGGAAGAAGACUGCCACAUCUUUCUCCCUCAGAGCCAGCCGGUGGUGUUUCCAACCACCAACUUUUGGUUAGCUGUUGAUUGCUUUAACCACUGUGCCGCUCCCCUCAGUCAAGGGCCAUUUCUACAGAGGGACUCAGCUGUGAGCCAGCAGCAGCCUACAUUCUCAACAGAUCCUCUGAGGUCCUGAGGUGAAGCUGUCAUUCUCUCCUGGUCUGAGCCAAAUGAACACGCCUUUCUCAGCAUCUACCACCCUCAGACCAUUCACCUGUACAUGUCUGCCUCCCUUUACCUGGUGUUCGCCUCAAAGAUGGGAACCCAUCUGUACAUCCCCAUGCCUAGCCUAAUGCUUGGUAAAUAGGACACUCGAUAAGGGUUUGUGAAAUGAAUGAAUAAAUGAACAAGCUUGAUUUAUUUUUCUGCUCUGCAGAAACAACAAUACAGAAAACACAUUUGAUGAAAUGAGGAUAACUCAAUUUAGCGCUUGCCUUUAUGUGUGCUUACUAUCAGUGCUUAACAAUGCCUGGUUGAUUUCAACUAACUGGCACAGCAUAAACAGGCUAUUUUCAAACAAUCAACUGUAUCUUACAGGUUUCCUAAAUAAAAGAAAAUCAAUCAUAGAAUUUGAAUGCAAAUUAAAAAGGAAAUUAAAAUGUAAGACAUGAAACAGCUAUUUGAUCAGCUGUUACAAUUGGCUGUGGACAGGCUAUAUUCGUGCCUUAUCUAGAUGGUGAGAAAAAAAUUAAUCAUAGAAAAUGGUUGGUUACAGGGCUAUUUUCUUUUCCACACUGAAAUCACAACAGAAUUAUCUAAUUAAUGAUGCCAAACUUCUAGAAGCACAAGAUAAAUGGUAUCCAAUAAAUUGAAAAGUACUAUAAUAAAUAUUUGCCCCUAGAAAAUAAUUCUAAGCAUAAAGGAUAAAUUGCAAAACUGGUUUGUAGAGAGCAAAUUUAUUUGCCACCACUAAAAUUUUAAAAAACUAAAAACAUUUGUAAUUUCUAGUAUCUGCAACACCUUUAAUUACAACUAUGAACUGGUAAAGCAUCUUGGUUUUCUGUCUACUGUGCCAGAGAGGGAGAAAAAUGUUGGCUUCCUAAGAAGCCCAUUAUGAAAAUUCCACCAUAAAAUAAAGUGAUAGAACUUUCUUUGGGUAGGAUCUGUAGGAUGUCCCCACUUAUAUUCAUAAUAUUGGGAACUUAUGUCUUCUCUUUUCUUCUUUUUUUUCUUGAUUAGUCUAGCUAGAAACUUGUCCAUUUUUUUGAUACUGUCAACAAACCAGCUUUUGGUUUUACUGAUUUUAUUUAAUGUUUGCCUGUUUUUCAUACCAUUGAUUUCCACUCUUUAUUAUUUCUUUCCUUCUAUUUAUUUAUUUUUUUUAAGUAUAUCUACUCUUCUUUUUCUUUUGUUUUUGGUUUACUCUUCUUUUUCUAGCUCCUUAAGGUGGAAGCUUAGUCCAUCAAAAUUAUACUUUGGUUCUUUUUUUUCAAUUUUUUUAUUUUGGUGAAAGUAUACAUAGUCAAAGAUACACAAUUUCAACAAUUUUUACACGUACAAUUCAGCAACAUUGAUUACACUCUUCAAGUUGUGCUACCAUUCUCACUAUUCUUUUCCAAAUUAUUCCACCACCAUUAUCUUAAACUCACUGCCCCCUAAGAAUUCUGUCCAGCAAUAGGAGAUGGGUUAAAUAAAUUAUAAUACAACCAUAUAUUAUAAAGUUUUCAAGAUUGUAUGGGAGAAGAACAUUUAAGACAUGGCUAAAUAUUCAUAAUAUAUUAUUAUUUAUUUUAAAAGGGCUAGCAAUGAGUAUGGAAAAUACACCACGCGGUUUGUGAAAACAAAAUAUAGUAACAGAGGUUAGUUUUUUGUGGGGUUCAAUUAUGGGUUAUUUGAACUUUCUUUUUGUCCUUCUCUGUAAUUUAUAAAUUUUCACAAUAAGUAUGUAUUAUUUCUGUAACUCACGUUAUUAAAAAAUAUUCCCACUUCUCAAAAAAAACUCCUCAACUGAAAGUCACCAAGAAGGAAUGUGACUGCAUCUUUCAUUUAUCAAUGGCCUUUCUUUUUAAAAAAAAGUUUUUAGAGGGAAUUUUGGUUAUUAAUUAAUUUGGCUAUUAAUUCUCCACUUUAAUCUUUAAUUUUAUCUUUAAAAGAUGCUUUAUUGGAUAACAACAGUAGCGUUCUUCCAAAGAGCAUGUUGCUUUAAUGUAGAAAACUGGAAAAUAACCUGAAGAAUUGAGAUAUAAUUAAAGACCAUUUUUUUUAAUUUCUAUUUAGUUAUUUUGUUGUUCUUAUUGAGAAUAAACAGCAAAACGUACACCAAUUCAACAGUUUCUACAUGGACAAUUCAAUGACACUGAUUAUAAUUAAAGACAAGAUAGAAAGACAACUAGGAUCACAGGAAUAAAAAGUAGUUCCAACUCUGUCAGAUGGGGUCAAGAUUCCAAAUUCUAUGUAAAAUAAUCCUUAGAAAUGUUCGAAAAAAUGUAGAAGAAAAUUCGAAUUCAUAAAAAAGACCAGGCUUACUGGUCUGAGAGAGACUGGAGGAACCUCUGAGACUAUUGUCCUGAGACACCCUUCUAACGUAGAACUGAGGCCGCUCCUGCUCCCGGGGGCCACUUUUCAGCCAAACAAUAGGCGGGGCUAUAAAAUACACAAACAAUAACACC